rnacentral:rRNA from 1 species
GACGAACGCUGGCGGCGUGCCUAAUACAUGCAAGUAGAACGCACAGUUUAUACCGUAGCUUGCUACACCAUAGACUGUGAGUUGCGAACGGGUGAGUAACGCGUAGGUAACCUGCCUGGUAGCGGGGGAUAACUAUUGGAAACGAUAGCUAAUACCGCAUAAUAUUAAUUAUUGCAUGAUAAUUAAUUGAAAGGUGCAAUUGCACCACUACCAGAUGGACCUGCGUUGUAUUAGCUAGUAGGUGAGGUAACGGCUCACCUAGGCGACGAUACAUAGCCGACCUGAGAGGGUGAUCGGCCACCCUGGGACUGGGACACGGCCCAGACUCCUACGGGAGGCAGCAGUAGGGGAUCUUCGGCCAUGGACGGAAGUCUGACCGGGCAACGCCGCGUGAGUGAAGAAGGUUUUCGGAUCGUAAAGCUCUGUUGUAAGAGAAGAACGGGUGUGAGAGUUGAAAGUUCACACUGUGACGGUAUCUUACCAGAAAGGGACGGCUAACUACGUG